GCUUCAGUGGUGCAAUCGGUUAGCAUGCAGUAUUUAUAAUGCUGAGGUUAUGAGUUCAAGCCUCACCUGGAGCA